GACGAACGCUGGCGGCGUGCCUAAUACAUGCAAGUAGAACGCUGAAGAGAGGAGCUUGCUCUUCUUGGAUGAGUUGCGAACGGGUGAGUAACGCGUAGGUAACCUGCCUUGUAGCGGGGGAUAACUAUUGGAAACGAUAGCUAAUACCGCAUAACAAUGGAUGACACAUGUCAUUUAUUUGAAAGGGGCAAUUGCUCCACUACAAGAUGGACCUGCGUUGUAUUAGCUAGUAGGUGAGGUAAUGGCUCACCUAGGCGACGAUACAUAGCCGACCUGAGAGGGUGAUCGGCCACACUGGGACUGGGACACGGCCCAGACUCCUACGGGAGGCAGCAGUAGGGAAUCUUCGGCAAUGGGGGCAACCCUGACCGAGCAACGCCGCGUGAGUGAAGAAGGUUUUCGGAUCGUAAAGCUCUGUUGUAAGUCAAGAACGGGUGUGAGAGUGGAAAGUUCACACUGUGACGGUAGCUAACCAGAAAGGGACGGCUAACUACGUG
rnacentral:rRNA from 1 species